GAUGAACGCUGGCGGCGUGCCUAAUACAUGCAAGUCGAGCGAACAGAUAAGGAGCUUGCUCCUUUGACGUUAGCGGCGGACGGGUGAGUAACACGUGGGUAACCUACCUAUCAGACUGGGAUAACUUCGGGAAACCGGAGCUAAUACCGGAUAACAUUUGGAACCGCAUGGUUCUAAAGUGAAAGAUGGUUUUGCUAUCACUUAUAGAUGGACCCGCGCCGUAUUAGCUAGUUGGUAAGGUAACGGCUUACCAAGGCAACGAUACGUAGCCGACCUGAAAGGGAGAUCAGCCACACUGGAACUGAGACACGGUCCAGACUCCUACGGGAGGCAGCAGUAGGGAAUCUUCCGCAAUGGGCGAAAGCCUGACAGAGCAACGCCGCGGGAGUGAUGAAGGGUUUCGGCUCGUAAAACUCUGUUAUUAGGGAAGAACAAAUGUGUAAGUAACUGUGCACGUCUUGACGGUACCUAAUCAGAAAGCCACGGCUAACUACGUG
rnacentral:rRNA from 1 species